UACCCGCUGAAUUUAAGCAUAUCACUAAGCGGAGGAAAAGAAACUAACAAGGAUUCCCCCAGUAACGGCGAGUGAACAGGGAAGAGCCCAGCACCGAAUCCCUCGUCGCAUCGACGAAGGGAACUGUGGUGUUAAGGACGUUUCCAUGCCGGCGGUUCUGCUCGGGCACCAAUGUCCUCCGGACCGGGGCUUCAUCCAGAGCGGGUGUCAGGCCCAUGUCGGUUGCCGCGAGCCCGUCGCUCGGAGCGUCCGUGGAGUCGGGUUGUUUGAGAAUGCAGCCCAAAGUGGGUGGUAAACUCCAUCUAAGGCUAAAUACGGGCACGAGACCGAUAGCGGACAAGUACCGNNNNNNNNNNNNNNNNAGAACUUUGAAGAGAGAGUUCAAGAGUACGUGAAACCGUUUAGAGGUAAACGGGUGGACCCGCAGAGUCCGUCCGGGGGAUUCAGUUCGGCAUCUGUUCCGCGGGGCGCGCUGGUUUCGAUCCCUCCCUGGCCCUCGGGCUGGAGAGGACGGAGCCCGGCACGCUCUCUCUCGACGGUUCAGACGAGCGCAUUUCUCCCGGACAGUGCGCCACGACCGAUUUCGGCCCCGUCAGAAGCACGGAGCGGAAGGUGGCAGCGCCGCCUCCUCUCCUUCGUUGGGGGGGAACCAAGGCGUGCCGCUGCGUUACAGCCGUUCCGACGCGGACGGUGGCGUUCGAGAUCGAGGACCGCUCUCUUUCCCGCCGCGCGACGGCCCUGUGCCGGCAUUUCGCUAGACCUCGGCUCGCCACUGUUGUUUCGGCAGUGCCUGCUGGGUCUGCGAGCGGAAUUGGUCGGCGAGGGUGUCUCGAUCGUGCGCGGGUCGGACAAAGCUAGGGUCUGUGGCGAUAUCCGUCGGCAACCCACCCGACCCGUCUUGAAACACGGACCAAGGAGACCAACAUGUGCGCGAGUCGUAGGGUCGUUCGAAACCCGAAGGCGCAACGAAAGUGAAGGCCGCUGUUGCAGUGCUAGCCUAGGUGGGAUCCGUAGUGCCCGGCUCCCUGACCGGAGUCGCGUCGCGGCGCACCACCGGCCCGUCUCGAUCUGUUACCCGACCCAGACGAGGCGGAGCAAGAGCGUACACGUUGGGACCCGAAAGAUGGUGAACUAUGCCCGAGUAGGGCGAAGCCAGAGGAAACUCUGGUGGAAGUCCGCAGCGAUUCUGACGUGCAAAUCGAUCGUCGGACUUGGGUAUAGGGGCGAAAGACUAAU
rnacentral:rRNA from 1 species